GACGAACGCUGGCGGCGUGCUUAACACAUGCAAGUCGAGCGGUAAGGCCCUUUCGGGGGUACACGAGCGGCGAACGGGUGAGUAACACGUGGGUGACCUGCCCUCAGCUCUGGGAUAAGCCUGGGAAACCGGGUCUAAUACUGGAUAUGACUCCAUGACGCAUGUUGUGGGGUGGAAAGCCUUGUGCGGCUGAGGAUGGGCCCGCGGCCUAUCAGCUUGUUGGUGGGGUGAUGGCCUACCAGGGCGACGACGGGUAGCCGGCCUGAGAGGGCGACCGGCCACACUGGGACUGAGACACGGCCCAGACUCCUACGGGAGGCAGCAGUGGGGAAUCUUGCGCAAGUGGGACGAAAGCCUGACGCAGCGACGCCGCGUGAGGGAUGAC
rnacentral:rRNA from 1 species